UUUGUAUGCGUCUGGAUAUGGAUGGCACUUGGAGUAAACGGCCGCUUUGUCCAUUUGUAUGCGUCUAUUAGUAUGUAAACAACCGCUCCUUGGUUGUCCAUUUGUAUGCGUACAUCAAUGUAAAUGGCCGCUGCUUGACUGUUAUUUUGAACCAAACUCGCCCUUAAUCCUUCCUAUACAGAAACGAAUCCUUGGAAUUUAGUACUGCAUGUCUGUUGUUGCUGUCAUGUCCUCGAUGCCUUUCAUGUUUCAAAUUUCCAAUACCUGGAAAGUGGCACAACAUAUUUCUAGUUGUGGUCCUGUACUACAUUGCUUUCUGAUUUAACGACGGUCAAGUUUAUGUGGAUACAAUCUCCUUUGAUAUGAUAUUUUGGUCUGAAUAUUUACAUUUUAAUUAUCAUAUACGGAUGCAUUCUCUAGAUAUUUGGUUGGUAUUAUCUUCCAAAAUAAUAGUAAAUGCAAUCCUUAGAUAGAAGUAACAUGUCGCAAACAGAAUUGUACAUUUUCACUUCCUUCUUUCGAGUGUAAUAGAUUAUUGCUUGAAAACAUAAAGAUGUCAAGUACAGCGUCAGAACAAAGAUACAAAUUGUAAUUUCAACAUCUGGCUAAUGACAUAUACAAUGAGUUGAGCGUGUCAAAAGCUCAUGUACGAACAGAAUAAAGUGGAUUAACCAUCUACUAUUUAGAACAGUUCGCACAUAGCUUAGUUGUUCACAGUAACUAAGGUAAAUAUUAAAAAUGGUAAUGUUUGCAGUGGUAAUUGAAGCUGCCAUAGACAUGAAUGAACUGGACCAUUGUAAGCUUUCAUUAUAGAGAAGGCAUAAUGUAAAUCCAAAUAAUAGACCUGCGAUGCAAAUUGAACAAAUUUUAUGAUUCUCAUUUUUCUUAGUUGAGAGGCAGUCCUUUCCCACAUACGGACAUAUCUCAAUAGAUUUUUAGAAUGCUCUCGAGCUAGAAAUCGCUGUUACAUUCAGACCUCUAAUACGGUCACUCCAUUGAGCUUUGAUAAAUAAAUUUGAGCAAGUUAGCAUUACAGUCUUCAGUUUGUGAAACUGGUUGUUUGAUUUUUGUGAAAAUUAGAACUCAUGAACCAUGGUUCUGGAGUCGGUAGUAAUAUGUAUAUUAUGUUUUUUGGACCUGGAACUUUCUUAGUUAGGGCUAUUAUGUUGCUAUUGUUUUUCUUGCAUGCAUUCAGAAAAUGGAUUAAAUUAUUUACCGUACUGGAUGCGCCUCUCCUCUCUUUGUUCGACACUGUCUUUUUUUCCUCUUCCCAGUUUGAACAUGUUGGAAAAGCAAAUUCUGGUAGGUUCCUUGCACAUCACAUUCUGCUAUCUUGCUGGUGCAAGACCUGUGAGUUUUGGUAGCUGGUAUAAUUUUGACAAUUUUGCUGCAAUAUCGUUAUGUUCUGUAUUGAUUUAGAGUUUUGCACAAUUUUUUUGCUGCAAUAGUCUGAAGCAAAACCUCUGUUCUUUUCAUUUCAUUUGCGCAGGAACUUUGCUCCCAUCUAAUCCAGUUGGGUUGUGUCAAAGGAAGGGAAGAGGGAAAUGUCUGGUUUGGUUGUGUAUAGGGAAAGGAAGACGACAAUGUCAUGGAGCAGCUGCAAGGGCAUGCCAGGAGAGGAGGGCCGAAGAUGAAGGUCUCUUUCUCUCUUUCUACGUUCUAUUGAUGAGCUAACAUAAUCAUGGGCCAAUUUGAACAAACAUGAACAAAUUCUGGUUUACUUGGCAAGUAGAGUAUUGUCUACUAUUGUCAGCAUUUUAAGAUGAACAUGCAGCCUACACAUUGAUUUUCAUGUGUAAACUUUUUGACACAUGAAUAUUUGAAGUUUAUGCCGACCCAUUUCUUUGCAUAGAUACUUUGUUAUUCUCAUUUGUAGGCACAGUAAGAUUUCAGAACUUUGGACAACUUGUAAUUCAUUUCUUACGUAUGUUCUAAUUCUCUUUGUAUUGUUUAUUCAUAUCACAAAUAUCUAAUGUUGUGGUAAAUAUGCUAGGUAUGAUCGGGUCGUGGGCUCUUGGUGCUGCUCAUCAUAAUCUGCUUUGACAUGAUUGUUGCCAUCAGGAGGACUACCAGCAAGAACCUAAAUGACGUCCUCAAUAAUUUAAAUGUGUUGAUGAUGUAAACUAGAUUGUGCUGAUUUCCAACCUUGCCUAGUGUUGUAUUUAUUAAUUUAUGUUGUAAAUUAUCAUUACAUGGGGGAUUUGUAAUCUCUUAUGUUGUAGGUAUGGCCGGAUGGCUAUGUAAAUACUAUGUGAUCUGUGUAUUGUAUAACACAGAAAUACUUGGUUUUGGGGCAAAAUUGGAAGUAUUUGUGUGAAGUAUGAAGGUAAAAAAAAUCGAGUCAAAAUUUGUUGAAAGAAAUGUGCUAAUGAGU
rnacentral:lncRNA from 1 species